rnacentral:rRNA from 1 species
GAUGAACGCUGGCGGCGUGCCUAAUACAUGCAAGUCGAGCGAACGGACGAGAAGCUUGCUUCUCUGAUGUUAGCGGCGGACGGGUGAGUAACACGUGGAUAACCUACCUAUAAGACUGGGAUAACUUCGGGAAACCGGAGCUAAUACCGGAUAAUAUUUUGAACCGCAUGGUUCAAAAGUGAAAGACGGUCUUGCUGUCACUUAUAGAUGGAUCCGCGCUGCAUUAGCUAGUUGGUAAGGUAACGGCUUACCAAGGCAACGAUGCAUAGCCGACCUGAGAGGGUGAUCGGCCACACUGGAACUGAGACACGGUCCAGACUCCUACGGGAGGCAGCAGUAGGGAAUCUUCCGCAAUGGGCGAAAGCCUGACGGAGCAACGCCGCGUGAGUGAUGAAGGUCUUCGGAUCGUAAAACUCUGUUAUUAGGGAAGAACAUAUGUGUAAGUAACUGUGCACAUCUUGACGGUACCUAAUCAGAAAGCCACGGCUAACUACGUGCCAGCAGCCGCGGUAAUACGUAGGUGGCAAGCGUUAUCCGGAAUUAUUGGGCGUAAAGCGCGCGUAGGCGGAUUUUUAAGUCUGAUGUGAAAGCCCACGGCUCAACCGUGGAGGGUCAUUGGAAACUGGAAAACUUGAGUGCAGAAGAGGAAAGUGGAAUUCCAUGUGUAGCGGUGAAAUGCGCAGAGAUAUGGAGGAACACCAGUGGCGAAGGCGACUUUCUGGUCUGUAACUGACGCUGAUGUGCGAAAGCGUGGGGAUCAAACAGGAUUAGAUACCCUGGUAGUCCACGCCGUAAACGAUGAGUGCUAAGUGUUAGGGGGUUUCCGCCCCUUAGUGCUGCAGCUAACGCAUUAAGCACUCCGCCUGGGGAGUACGACCGCAAGGUUGAAACUCAAAGGAAUUGACGGGGACCCGCACAAGCGGUGGAGCAUGUGGUUUAAUUCGAAGCAACGCGAAGAACCUUACCAAAUCUUGACAUCCUUUGACAACUCUAGAGAUAGAGCCUUCCCCUUACGGGGACAAAGUGACAGGUGGUGCAUGGUUGUCGUCAGCUCGUGUCGUGAGAUGUUGGGUUAAGUCCCGCAACGAGCGCAACCCUUAAGCUUAGUUGCCAUCAUUAAGUUGGGCACUCUAAGUUGACUGCCGGUGACAAACCGGAGGAAGGUGGGGAUGACGUCAAAUCAUCAUGCCCCUUAUGAUUUGGGCUACACACGUGCUACAAUGGACAAUACAAAGGGCAGCGAAACCGCGAGGUCAAGCAAAUCCCAUAAAGUUGUUCUCAGUUCGGAAUGUAGUCUGCA